ACGAGAGGACUGGGAAGCUUGCUUCCUAUGAAAUCGAGUGGCAAACGGGUGAGUAACGCGUAAACAACCUGCCCUUCGGAUGGGGAUAACAGCCGGAAACGGCUGCUAAUACCGAAUACGAUCUUUUCGUCGCAUGACGGAAAGAAGAAAGGAUGGCCUCUAUACAAAGCUAUCGCCGAAGGAGGGGUUUGCGUCUGAUUAGCUGGUUGGAGGGGUAACGGCCCAACAAGGCGAUGAUCAGUAGCCGGUCUGAGAGGAUGAACGGCCACAUUGGGACUGAGACACGGCCCAGACUCCUACGGGAGGCAGCAGUGGGGAAUCUUCCGCAAUGGACGAAAGUCUGACGGAGCAACGCCGCGUGAGUGAAGAAGGUCUUCGGAUUGUAAAGCUCUGUUAUACGGGACGAAAAAGACGGAUGCCAACAGUAUCCGUCCGUGACGGUACCGUAAGAGAAAGCCACGGCUAACUACGUGCCAGCAGCCGCGGUAAUACGUAGGUGGCAAGCGUUGUCCGGAAUUAUUGGGCGUAAAGGGCGCGCAGGCGGUUCGGUAAGUCUGUCUUAAAAGUGCGGGGCUUAACCCCGUGAGGGGACGGAAACUGUCGAACUUGAGUGUCGGAGAGGAAAGCGGAAUUCCUAGUGUAGCGGUGAAAUGCGUAGAUAUUAGGAGGAACACCGGUGGCGAAAGCGGCUUUCUGGA
rnacentral:rRNA from 1 species